rnacentral:rRNA from 1 species
GUCGAACGGCAGCAUGAUCUAGCUUGCUAGAUUGAUGGCGAGUGGCGAACGGGUGAGUAAUACAUCGGAACGUGCCCUGUAGUGGGGGAUAACUAGUCGAAAGAUUAGCUAAUACCGCAUACGACCUGAGGGUGAAAGUGGGGGACCGCAAGGCCUCAUGCUAUAGGAGCGGCCGAUGUCUGAUUAGCUAGUUGGUGAGGUAAAGGCUCACCAAGGCGACGAUCAGUAGCUGGUCUGAGAGGACGAUCAGCCACACUGGGACUGAGACACGGCCCAGACUCCUACGGGAGGCAGCAGUGGGGAAUUUUGGACAAUGGGCGAAAGCCUGAUCCAGCAAUGCCGCGUGUGUGAAGAAGGCCUUCGGGUUGUAAAGCACUUUUGUCCGGAAAGAAAUGGCUCUGGUUAAUACCUGGGGUCGAUGACGGUACCGGAAGAAUAAGGACCGGCUAACUACGUGCCAGCAGCCGCGGUAAUACGUGGGGUCCAAGCGUUAAUCGGAAUUACUGGGCGUAAAGCGUGCGCAGGCGGUUGUGCAAGACCGAUGUGAAAUCCCCGAGCUUAACUUGGGAAUUGCAUUGGUGACUGCACGGCUAGAGUGUGUCAGAGGGGGGUAGAAUUCCACGUGUAGCAGUGAAAUGCGUAGAGAUGUGGAGGAAUACCGAUGGCGAAGGCAGCCCCCUGGGAUAACACUGACGCUCAUGCACGAAAGCGUGGGGAGCAAACAGGAUUAGAUACCCUGGUAGUCCACGCCCUA